GUGGUGGGGAAUUGAUAUGUGGUUGUGAAAGUGUGUGAUAGACAAAACAUAGAUAGUACAGUGUGUGUGUGUGUGUGUGUGUGUGUGUGAGAGAGAGAGAGAGAGUUCUUAUGCGCCAGGUGCUGAUGGCUGUAGGAAGGGCAGGGAUGACCAGCAUGUGUUAACUGAGAUGUCUGGGCUGUUAUUUAUGUGAUAGCCGAGUAGAUGAUUUAUGCUGGUGUCUCAAAGUUGAGAUCAGCCCCUCUCUAAUAUGAAACGCUGAUCAAAGGAGCUGAUGGAAAGACUAGACGAGUAAGAGGGAGAGAACUAGAGAUUACGCUACUCGCUUUUUCCACUGGAUGCAUCAGCUUUGGAACAAAACUUCCUUGACGUUCACCUGGAAACAUGUCACCGCAUCCAGGCUACACAGUUUAUACUGCAAGACGGUGUGACUGGAGGAGCACAGGCAAUUACAUAAUGCUAGCCGAAACAGUGUUAGCAUUGUGCUUUGUGAUUGUUUGAACUCUCAUUCUGACGGCACCCAUUCACUGCAGAGGAUCCAUUGGUGUGGUGUAAUGCAGAAUUUUUCCGAAUCUGUUCUGAUGAAGAAACAAACUCAUCUACAUCUUGGAUAGCCUGAGGGUGAGUACAUUUUCAGCUAAUUUUCGUUUUUGGGUGAACUAUUCCUUUAAAGCGAUACUACCAACACCAAGGUCAUUGGUUUGUAUUCCAGGGAAUUCACUGUUAUGCAAUGCAAGCUGGUUUUCAAUAAAAGUGUUUUCGUAAAUGUAAAAUUAAUGGUA
ensembl:lncRNA